AUUGAACGCUGGCGGCAUGCUUUACACAUGCAAGUCGAACGGCAGCGCGGGCUUCGGCCUGGCGGCGAGUGGCGAAUGGGUGAGUAAUGCAUCGGAACGUGCCCAGUCGUGGGGGAUAGCCCGGCGAAAGCCGGAUUAAUACCGCAUACGACCUGAGGGUGAAAGCGGGGGACCGAAAGGCCUCGCGCUACUGGAGCGGCCGAUGUCGGAUUAGCUAGUUGGUGGGGUAAAGGCUUACCAAGGCGACGAUCCGUAGCUGGUCUGAGAGGACGACCAGCCACACUGGGACUGAGACACGGCCCAGACUCCUACGGGAGGCAGCAGUGGGGAAUUUUGGACAAUGGGGGCAACCCUGAUCCAGCCAUGCCGCGUGCGGGAAGAAGGCCUUCGGGUUGUAAACCGCUUUUGUUCGGGAAGAAAUCCUCUGGGCUAAUACCCCGGGGGGAUGACGGUACCGGAAGAAUAAGCACCGGCUAACUACGUG
rnacentral:rRNA from 1 species